GACGAACGCUGGCGGCGUGCUUAACACAUGCAAGUCGAGCGGUAAGGCCUUUCGGGGUACACGAGCGGCGAACGGGUGAGUAACACGUGGGUGAUCUGCCCUGCACUUCGGGAUAAGCCUGGGAAACUGGGUCUAAUACCGGAUAUGACCUCCUAUCGCAUGGUGGGUGGUGGAAAGAUUUAUCGGUGCAGGAUGGGCCCGCGGCCUAUCAGCUUGUUGGUGGGGUAAUGGCCUACCAAGGCGACGACGGGUAGCCGACCUGAGAGGGUGACCGGCCACACUGGGACUGAGACACGGCCCAGACUCCUACGGGAGGCAGCAGUGGGGAAUAUUGCACAAUGGGCGAAAGCCUGAUGCAGCGACGCCGCGUGAGGGAUGACGGCCUUCGGGUUGUAAACCUCUUUCAGCAGGGACGAAGCGUAAGUGACGGUACCUGCAGAAGAAGCACCGGCUAACUACGUG
rnacentral:rRNA from 1 species